GAUGAACGCUGGCGGCGUGCCUAAUACAUGCAAGUCGAGCGAACAGUUGAGGAGCUUUCUCCUCUGACUUUAUCGGCGGACGGAUCCGUCACACGUGGAUAAACUACCUAUCCGACUGGGAUAAUUUCGGGAAACCGGAGCUACUACCGGAUAAUUUAUUGCACUGCAUUGUUCCAUAGUUAAAGACGGUUUUGCUAUCACUUAUAGAUGGACCCGCGCUGGAUUAGCUAGUUGGUAGGGUAAAGGCUUACCAAGGCGACGACUCAUACCCGGCCUGAGAGGAUGAUCAGCGACACUGGGACUGAGACACGGCCCAGACUCCUACGGGAGGCAGCAGUGGGGAAUAUUGGACAAUGGGCGAAAGCAUGAUCCAGCAAUGCCGCGUGAGUGAUGAAGGCAUUAGGGUUGUAAAGCUCUUUUAACCGGGAUGAUAAUGACAGUACCGGGAGAAUAAGCUCCGGCUAACUACGUG
rnacentral:rRNA from 1 species